rnacentral:rRNA from 1 species
ACUCCUACGGGAGGCAGCAGUAGGGAAUCUUCCACAAUGGACGAAAGUACUGAUGGAGCAACGCCGCGUGAGUGAAGAAGGGUUUCGGCUCGUAAAACUACUGUUGUUAAAGAAGAACAUAUCUGAGAGUAACUGUUCAGGUAUUGACGGUAUUUAACCAGAAAGCCACGGCUAACUACGUGCCAGCAGCCGCGGUAAUACGUAGGUGGCAAGCGUUGUCCGGAUUUAUUGGGGCGUAAAGCGAGCGCAGGCGGUUUUUAAGUCUGAUGUGAAAGCCUUCGGCUCAACCGAAGAAGUGCAUCGGAAACUGGGAAAACUUGAGUGCAGAAGAGGACAGUGGAACUCCAUGUGUAGCGGUGAAAUGCGUAGAUAUAUGGAAGAACACCAGUGGCGAAGGCGGCUGUCUGGUCUGUAACUGACGCUGAGGCUCGAAAGUAUGGGUAGCAAACAGGAUUAGAUACCCUGGUAGGAUAGCG